AGCAGCCGCGGUAAUUCCAGCUCCAAUAGCGUAUAUUAAAGUUGUUGCAGUUAAAAAGCUCGUAGUUGAAUUUCGGGGUUAGUAGAUUGGUCAUGCCUCUGGUAUGCACUGGUCUUACUGAUUCCUCCUUCCUGAUGAACCGUAAUGCCAUUAAUUUGGUGUUGCGGGGAAACUGGACUGUUACUUUGAAAAAAUUGAGUGUUUAAAGCAGGCUAACGCUUGAAUACAUUAGCAUGGAAUAAUGAAAUAGGACGUUCGAUCUUAUUUUGUUGGUUUCUAGGAUUGACGUAAUGAUUAAUAGGGAUAGUUGGGGGCAUUAGUAUUCAAUUGUCAGAGGUGAAAUUCUUGGAUUUAUUGAAGACUAACUACUGCGAAAGCAUUUGCCAAGGAUGUUUUCAUUAAUCAAGAACGAAAGUUAGGGGAUCGAAGACGAUCAGAUACCGUCGUAGUCUUAACCAUAAACCUAUGCCGACUAGGGGAUCGGGACGAUAGUUUAAUUUUUUAAUGUACUUCAUUCGGC
rnacentral:rRNA from 1 species